GAGGAUAUAGUUUAAUUUGGAAAACCACUAACUUUCAUUUGGUGAAUCAGGUUCGAUACCAGUUAUCCUCG
rnacentral:tRNA from 1 species